rnacentral:rRNA from 1 species
AUUGAACGCUGGCGGCAGGCCUAACACAUGCAAGUCGAACGAGUGGCGGACGGGUGAGUGAUGUAUGUGAAACUGUCCGAUGGAGGGGGAUAACAACUGGAAACGGUAGCUAAUACCGCAUACGAUCGUAUGUGUCCAGAUGGGAUUAGAUAGUAGGUGGGGUAAAGGCUCACCUAGGCGACGAUCCCUAGCUGGUCUGAGAGGAUGACCAGCCACACUGGAACGGAGACACGGUCCAGACUCCUACGGGAGGCAGCAGUGGGGAAUAUUGCACAAUGGGCGAAAGCCUGAUGCAGCCAUGCCGCGUGUAUGAAGAAGGCCUUCGGGUUGUAAAGUACUUUCAGCGGGGAGGCGUUACCCGCAGAAGAAGCACCGGCUAACUCCGUGCCAGCAGCCGCGGUAAUUC